ACGAUGCCCCUACAGGUGAGUUGGAAAACAGAAGUUGACAGGAACAGGUAAAAAAUAAGAAGGUCAACAACAGAUGAAAAGAAGGAGGUCAAAGUUUAGGAGUAACAAGGCGGCUCUCACGAGAUGCUAGACAGAUCAAACAGAAAGGUGGAUAUUUGGAAGGAACAGUCUUCUCCCACUGAUGAGGUAAACCUCGAGACCAAUCCAGAAAUAAAUUGCCAAGCUUCUAUCAAAUAAUUCAAAAGGAGACCCAGGACUCUUGAUGAUACACUUGAAGUCACUAAAUAUGAAAGGUGAUAGCAUCUUGGAAGGCAAGAGCAGAGGAAAGGAGAAUUUUCACAGGGAAGAAGAAAGAGUUGGUGAAAGUGAAAUUGCUUUAACAAAAUAAUGAUCUCUAUACCUCCUUCUCGAACUGUGGUUUGAAGGACAGUAUCAUCAGCAUUACUUGGAGCUUGUGAGAAAUUUAGAAUUUCAAGGCCCCCUCGACCCCAACUUACUG
rnacentral:lncRNA from 10 species